rnacentral:rRNA from 1 species
UACGGAGGGUGCAAGCGUUAUCCGGAUUCACUGGGUUUAAAGGGUGCGUAGGAGGGUAGAUAAGUCAGUGGUGAAAUCUUCGAGCUUAACUCGGAAACUGCCGUUGAUACUAUCUAUCUUGAAUACCGUGGAGGUGAGCGGAAUAUGUCAUGUAGCGGUGAAAUGCUUAGAUAUGACAUAGAACACCAAUUGCGAAGGCAGCUCGCUACACGAAUAUUGACUCUGAGGCACGAAAGCGUGGGGAUCAAACAGG